GGGGAAUUUUCCGCAAUGGGCGAAAGCCUGACGGAGCAAUCUCGCGUGAGGGAUGACGGCCUAUGGGUUGUAAACCUCUUUUUUCAGGGGGGAAUCAAUGACGUGUACCUGAAGAAUAAGCAUCGGCUAACUCCGUGCCAGCAGCCGCGGUAAGACGGAGGAUGCAAGUGUUAUCCGGAAUCACUGGGCGUAAAGCGUCUGUAGGUGGUUUAAUAAGUCAACUGUUAAAUCUUGAAGCUCAACUUCAAAAUCGCAGUCGAAACUAUUAGACUAGAGUAUAGUAGGGGUAAAGGGAAUUUCCAGUGGAGCGGUGAAAUGCGUAGAGAUUGGAAAGAACACCGAUGGCGAAGGCACUUUACUGGGCUAUUACUAACACUCAGAGACGAAAGCUAGGGUAGCAAAGGGAUUAGAUACCCCAGUAGUC
rnacentral:rRNA from 1 species